rnacentral:rRNA from 1 species
UACGGAGGGUGCAAGCGUUAUCCGGAAUCAUUGGGUUUAAAGGGUCCGUAGGCGGAUAAUUAAGUCAGAGGUGAAAUCCCGCAGCUUAACUGUGGAACUGCCUUUGAUACUGGUUAUCUUGAGUCACAUUGAAGUAGAUGGAAUGUGUAGUGUAGCGGUGACAUGCGUAGAUAUCAGAAGGAACACCAAUGGCGAAGGCAACUUUCUGGCCUAAAACUGACGCUGAGGGACGAAAGCGUGGGGAGCGAACAGG